UACAGAGGGUGCGAGCGUUGUCCGGAAUCACUGGGCGUAAAGGGCGCGUAGGCGGCCUGAUAAGUCGGGGGGUGAAAAUCCUGUGGCUCAACCACAGGGCUGCCUCCGAGACUGUCGGGCUCGAGCACAGUAGAGGCAGGUGGAAUUCCCGGUGUAGCGGUGGAAUGCGUAGAGAUCGGGAAGAACAUCGGUGGCGAAGGCGGCCUGCUGGGCUGUUGCU
rnacentral:rRNA from 1 species